rnacentral:misc_RNA from 1 species
GAUGAAGAACGUAGCAAAAUGCGAUAAGUAAUGUGAAUUGCAGAAUUCAGUGAAUCAUCGAAUCUUUGAACGCACAUUGCGCCCGCCAGUAUUCUGGCGGGCAUGCCUGUUCGAGCGUCAUUUCAACCCUCAAGCACAGCUUGGUGUUGGGACUCGCGUUAUUUCGCGUUCCCCAAAUUGAUUGGCGGUCACGUCGAGCUUCCAUAGCGUAGUAGUAAAACCCUCGUUACUGGUAAUCGUCGCGGCCACGCCGUUAAACCCCAACUUCUGAAUGUUGACCUCGGAUCAGGUAGGAAUACCCGCUGAACUUAAGCAUAUCAAUAAGCGGAGGA